rnacentral:lncRNA from 1 species
AAGACAUUUAAUGUGCAUGAACAUAAAAUCUCAAUAUUGUCAAGAUAUAAUUUCUCCCCAAUUUGAGUUAUAGGCAAGAGAGUCACAUCAUCUGGGUGAUUGGCCAAACAUAUGUCACAAUCCCUUCCAUUGACAGCUCCCAAAAAAGGAGUUACAUCACCUAGGUGCUCAGCUCUGAGAUGUGUCACAACAUUGCCCAAUACAGGCAGGGCACAGGCGGGAGAGUCACAUUUCCUGGGUGCUUGGCCCAGUGGUAUGUCACAUUUCCUUAUGUAGGAAGGGCACACGUAGCAAAAGAGAGUCACAUUACCUAGGUACUGUGCUAGAGCUAUCAGUCUCUGUGUCAUUCAAUGUGAGAGUUAUGAUCUCUUUAGACAUCCAUGUAACAGAGCCUCAACUCCUUCAUCCUCAGAUGUAAAGGCUAGUGAAGACCAAAUAAGCCUUGAAAGGCUGGAGCCCAUGCGAGGGUCUGCAGUCUUUGUUCCGGAUGGGGAACUACUGCUUCAGCUGGUUACCCAGGUGCCCCGAUGGGGAAAGGAAGGAAAUGGUGAGAAUCUUCAGCACAGCGGAUCACAUCACCCUGGAAGAGACCAGUCCUGCCUGCGCAUAGCACAAGCAGCCGCAGGCUAGAGGCAGUCAUGUCAGGCCUCCUCCAUACAGCAUCUCUCCUGCUUUUUUUUCAAACGGCCCUAAUCACUUAAUUUGGUCAUCUUCCCUGUCACAAUGGGGCACCUGGCGCUAUAGACACUUGGGAAACACACAGAUCUGGGAUCCUACAUUGUCCAGGUGAAGACGCCGGGAGUCAGAGAGGAAAGUCUUUUGAAGCCUCCAAAAGGAAUGCACAGGACCCUACUUGAAGAGGUGGCGUGCCCAGUGGCGGAUACAGGCCCCACACAUCGCAGCAGUAAACAGGGACUCCACGGUGUCCAGCUCUCCAGCCUGGGGUUUCUCAUCACCCAGUGAUUCCAAAAGAAACGAUCUACAAUGGCAUGACUAAGUUCCAGAAACAAAUAAACAAAAUACUGAGGGAAGCCCAUUGGUCACUUUGAUUCUUCAAAGGUGACAAUUGUCCCUCCCUGAAAUCUUAUGAGUGCAUGAACAGACUAUUCUAAUGUAAAUGAAAUUCACACUAAAACUGAUUGAAAGAUGAUUCUGUUUCCAAGGUACUUUGUAUUCUCAAAUUGCAUCUGCUUACCCUGGCCCCCUCAAAAUGGAAGAGUGAUGACUAUUUGUCUUCGUAACACUGUGGGGACACAGAGCCUUAAAUGGAAGAGUGUCAAAAGCAACAUUCCAUAAAGGGCUGUCACUUCCAAUUUUCAAGCGAGGUUGGAAACCAACCAUGAUGUAUGAAACACUGUUGGCCAAAGUGCACAAUUAGUAAUACAAAAUGAAUAAUAUAAACUAUUGUAAAUAUGUGUAGACAUCGUGGCAAUUUGGACAUCAAAAACACUGCCAAAUUCAGAAAGAGGAAGCUGUAAACUCAUGGCUGUUAGGAAGCUUAACUUCUGUGUACUAGAACCUAUCAAAAUUAAAUUUCUCCAUGUCAAUCCGUCCAAACAAACAUUGAGAUGUUUAUUUCUAUAUAAUUCCUAUUGAAUCCUACUGGGUAGGACCCUUCUGGCCCCAUCCUCACAGCACUGGUGCAGUGAAACUGCACUUGCUCCUGCUUCCCCCUAUAUUGUUAGGAG